ACGAACGCUGGCGGCGUGCCUAAUACAUGCAAGUAGAACGCUGAAGGAGGAGCUUGCUUCUCUGGAUGCGUUGCGAACGGGUGAGUAACGCGUAGGUAACCUGCCUGGUAGCGGGGGAUAACUAUUGGAAACGAUAGCUAAUACCGCAUAAGAGUAGAUGUUGCAUGACAUUUGCUUAAAAGGUGCAAUUGCAUCACUACCAGAUGGACCUGCGUUGUAUUAGCUAGUUGGUGAGGUAACGGCUCACCAAGGCAACGAUACAUAGCCGACCUGAGAGGGUGAUCGGCCACACUGGGACUGAGACACGGCCCAGACUCCUACGGGAGGCAGCAGUAGGGAAUCUUCGGCAAUGGACGGAAGUCUGACCGAGCAACGCCGCGUGAGUGAAGAAGGUUUUCGGAUCGUAAAGCUCUGUUGUAAGAGAAGAACGAGUGUGAGAGUGGAAAGUUCACACUGUGACGGUAUCUUACCAGAAAGGGACGGCUAACUACGUG
rnacentral:rRNA from 1 species